GCCAGGCGUGGUGGCACAUGCCUGUAGUCCUAGCUACUUAGGAGGCUGAGGUGGGAGGCUUGCUUGAGCCCAGGAGGUUGAGGUUGCCAUGAGCUAUGAUCAUGCCACUGCACUCCAGCCUGGGCAACAGAGCAAGACCUUGUCUCUA
ensembl:misc_RNA Metazoa_SRP Metazoan signal recognition particle RNA